AAUCAAGCGCGAGAAGGGCGUUUGGGGAAUGCCUUGGCAGUAAGAGGCGAUGAAGGACGUGAUACACUGCGAUAAGCUGUGGUUAGCCGUGAAUAGGCACUAUACCCACAGAUUUCCGAAUGGGGCAACCCACUUGAUACUCAGUUAUUGAAUA
rnacentral:rRNA from 1 species